rnacentral:rRNA from 1 species
GAAAGAGAGCCAGAACACAGGUGCUGCAUGGCCGUCGUCAGCUCGUGUCGUGAGAUGUUGGGUUAAGUCCCGCAACGGGCGCAACCCUUGUCAUUAGUUGCUACGAAAGGGCACUCUAAUGAGACUGCCGGUGACAAACCGGGGGAAGGUGGGGAUGACGUCAGGUCAUCAUGGCCCUUAUGAGUAGGGCUACACACGUCAUACAAUGGCCGGGACAGAGGGCUGCCAACCCGCGAGGGGGAGCUAAUCCCAGAAACCCGGUCGUAGUCCGGAUCGUAGUCUGCAACUCGACUGCGUGAAGUCGGAAUCGCUAGUAAUCGCGGAUCAGCUUGCCGCGGUGAAUACGUUCCCGGGUCUUGUACACACCGCCCGUCACACCAUGGGAGCGGGUUCUGCCAGAAGUAGUUAGCCUAACCGCAAGGAGGGCGAUUACCACGGCAGGGUUCGUGACUGGGGUGAAGUCGUAACAAGGUAGCCGUAUCGGAAGGUGCGGCUGGAUCACCU